GGAUCGAUUCCCACCUGUGGCCUUUCUGUGUGGAGUUUGCAUGUUCUCCCUGUGUUUGUGUGGGUUUUCUCUGGAUGCUCCGGUUUCGUCCCACAUUUAAAGAAAAUGAAUUGGAAACUUUAUAAUUGCCCAGGUCUCCCUUGCAAAAGGCAUUUCGAUCUCAAUUGGACUAACCUGCUUAAAUAAAGGUUAAAUUUAAAAAAUACCGACAGUAAACAUCUAGACACCACAAAGGACCAACAUGAGGUAACCCGGAAUAAGCAUCAACCCCAGUGAGGCUCAGGCCUUACACAAGACUUAUGUGAGUAGUUAAUUUGUUCAGGUGUCUCCAAUGUAGUGCACAAUGAGUAUCUCAAGGAUGAUCUGGAAACUGGGGAUGCGACAGGACUGCAUCAGUCAGAGGAUCACGACAAUGACAGUGGGGGGGACUUGAGGCUAAUAACAGGAUACUGAAUGGUACGUGUCAGUUUCAUGGGUGGGGUUAAGGUUGGCUAUUGAAAUUGUUAGGGAUGGGGGGGAGCCACCAAGAGAUCUACUACCCCUGCUUCUACAGAUCUGCCUUUGGAUGAAGGGGGGGAAGCGUUCAUAAAAUCACAGACUGAGGUUAUUAUUUGGAACAAAAUCCCGCAAACGUUCUUGCCGCAUACUGAAGUCACCAAUUCCUGAUCUACUCCAAAGACAUGGGGGAUUGUUUGUUUGUUUGUGAAUAUCUGCUUGUGUGUUUUCCACAUCUUUGGACUCACUAUUUAAGUUGCCUAAACUAGAAUAAUGGGUGAAUGCUGUCCUGUUAUUUGGAUGCAAAUCCCAAUAACAUCCUGCAGGAGUAAUUACAAUAAAAGAUGUUAAGAUGCAAGAAAAGUGUUCAGGUCACUGUAUACCUCAAUCGAGCAUGCGUGAUAUAGUGGGGCAGAUAUGUGAAAAAGAUGUUCGUUUCUGGCAGAAAGUGUGAAAUUUUUGCAUACAGGUAUUUUCAGAUGCUGAAUUCAAAAACUGCCGGGAGGCAAUUCAGGAGGUCGAACCCUUGGGUUGGCUGCCAUCUUGAAUUCCAGUGUGACUGCUAUGUUGAAACAUUAAUAGUCACUAUCUAGGGACAUACAGGUUACUGAACUUUGGUACGCAAGGAAUAUAUAUGAAUAUAUAUUGAUAAUAAUACAUGAAUUAUUAAUACAUUAGUUACCAAUUCAUAAUACAGUUAAUUUAAUUCUACUCUACAUUUCACACACCACCAGAUACCAUCACCACAAGUCCUGAAAAAUAAAGAAUAAAGAACAUAAGUUAAGAAAUUAUUGGAAAGAAGAGUGUCAGGCCUAAUUGAUAUCCAAAGCUUCUAUUGCCUUAAAAAAUAUUAUUGCAUUAUUAACAACCUGAAAUAGACACUUUAACAAGCCUUUAACAUAGGAACAGCCACCUGAAAAUUGAGAAAAAUGACAGGUUAAGGUAUAUCAGCCAAUCUUAAGUGUGAUAUAUCUGCCUAAUUUAACUGUAAAUGCACUCAAAGGUAUUCUACUGGUAUUUGAACUGGUCUCGCAGGAGAGCCUGCAUUUUACCUGGAUUAGUGGACCAACAGUCUAACCACUGAGCUAUCCAGACUCCUACUGACAAACUGUCCUACUGACAUUCAAAGGUGAUGAGGUGUCAAAGACUGGAGUAUGCAAUCUAAUGAACUAAUGACGUUGGCAGCCAUGUUUAAUUCUCAUUUUACUUCUGGAUCCCUUUGGAAAAGUGCUUUGAUCUGGCAAAAUCUGAAAUUAGAAUACUUCAAAGAUUCUGUUAGCAAAUUUACAUACUUUCUGCUGGAUGUGAACAUCUCUGGCAAUUUUUGUCACAUAUCUGCCCCACUAAUGAGACAGUACCAGAAAAUAUCCACGUUUUCUUUUUCCACCUGCCUGUACUGAAGCCUACCCCAACAGAAAGGUUCCAGUGUUACAUGAGGAUGGUGGCUGACAGAUGCAGCAGCUGUCUAAUUGUGAUCAGUUUUCUUUUCGUCGGGUGCGUUACGCUGGCAUGUAGAAAGUUAUGAGAUUUGUUUCCCUUCUUGUGACUGACACGAAUGCUCCUGUCUGUUGUCAACAAUCCAGCCAGGAUGUCAGUUGAAGUAUGCAGCAGAUUAAAUGUCCUGAGUAAAAUUGUACCUGUGUGCAACUUGAUGGACAGACCCAAAACCCAUGUGACCAACU